ensembl:snoRNA
UUAGAAGUGUGUGCUGAUGAGUCUUUAUCCUGUAGAGCCAUAUUCUUGAAAAUGCUUCAUAGAGUAAAUAUGCGGUUUGCUUUAUGCACAGAACUAUUUGUUAGAUCUAUAGAAAAGAAUUACUUGACAGAU